rnacentral:rRNA from 1 species
UACGUAGGGGCGAGCGUUGUCCGGAUUUACUGGGCGUAAAGAGCGCGCAGGCGGUCGUUCAAGUCGAGUGUGAAAGCCCCCGGCUCAACUGGGGAGGGUCACUUGAUACUGAUCGACUGGAAGGCAGGAGAGGGAAGCGGAAUUCCCGGUGUAGUGGUGAAAUGCGUAGAUAUCGGGAGGAACACCAGUGGCGAAGGCGGCUUCCUGGCCUGUUCUUGACGCUGA